rnacentral:tRNA from 1 species
GAUGGUAUAAUUCAAUAGGUAGAAUGCUGGAUUCAUACUCCAUUUGUUAUAGGUUCAAGUCCUAUUACCAUCA